AACGAACGCUGGCGGCAGGCCUAAACAUGCAAGUUGAACGGUUGUAGCAAUACAACGAGUAGCGGACGGGUGAGUAAUGUAUGGGAACAUGUCCUUUAGUGGGGAAUAGCUUCUGGAAACGGGAGGUAAUACCGCAUAAGACCUGAGGGUGAAAGCAUUUAUGCGCUAAAGGGUUGGCCCAUAUCAGAUUAGCUAGUUGGUUAGGUAAAAGCUGACCAAGGCGACGAUCUGUAGCUGGUUUGAGAGGAUGAUCAGCCACAUUGGGACUGAGACACGGCCCAAACUCCUACGGGAGGCAGCAGUUAGGAAUAUUGGACAAUGGGGGCAACCCUGAUCCAGCCAUGCCGCGUGAGUGAAGAAGGCCUUCGGGUUGUAAAGCUCUUUGGAUGGAGAUGAUGACGG
rnacentral:rRNA from 1 species